GCACUUUCCACAGGACCGAGUGAGCCACUCUUGAUUCACCCUUCCUCUGCCCAGGCCUGCAGUGGGCGGGUGCCCACCGUGGUACACAGCCCAUGAAGCAGCCACCCUCUGCCACUGAGGCUUGGCAGUCUGAAUGGAUGCCAGCCUAUGAGAUUAGAAGGAAAAUGGGCAGGAUGUGAAAAAUCAGAAGCUGCCUGACUACUCCUGGGAAAUUGUUCCUGAGACCAUGCCCUUCCUGCGUCUACUUGUAGCAUCGCUCUUUCACUGACAAGCAUGUAUCGAGUACUAGGCAAGUCCAAAGGAGGUCUUGAAGUAGAUACAGCAGGACAGGCAAGAGGCUGGUUCCAUGGCCAGCUGCUGUUUGUACCUGACCAAUGUUCCUCCCCCAUGUUCCGGUAACAGCACCCUUCCACCACUAUCACUCCAUGUGCCUCCCCAACCAGAGGAGGUGGAUGAAUGAGGCCUGGGAAGUCAGCAUAUUCCAUCCCCCCGGCCCCAGGGAUUGGUCUGAGAUGGGUAUGUGACCCAAGUCUGGCCAAUCACAGUCAACCCCUAGACAUGUGCUGAGGCUACACAGAAAGUCAGCUUCUGCUCACUUGGCUUGUCGAUCUGGCAGAAUGGAAGCUGGGGGAUACUGGGGACUAUUUUUGCCACCACAUAAGGUGACCCUAACUGACACGGAGGAAAACAGAACCAAGAAGUGGAAACAGCAUGAUUCCUAAACAACAGAUGCACACCUGGAUCCAGCCAUUCCUGAAGCUGAAGGUCUUUUCAUUUAAAUGAACCAAAACAUUCACAGAAACACACACUAUUUUUUUUCUUAAGUCACUUUGAGUUGGGUUUGUUUCUGUCACUUUCAACCAAAAGACCCUGACUAUACAAGUGGAUGUAUAGCUGUUUCCAGGCUGGAAAACAAACAGCUAUGGCAAAAGCAGACCAUGAGACAUCCAUGUAAAAUCUGGGAGUUGAGGGCUGGGUGCAGUGGCUCACACCUGUAAUCCCAGCACUUUGGGAGUCUGAGGCAGGUGGAUCGGUUGAGGUCAGGAGUUCAAGGCCAGCCUGGGCAACAUGGCAAAACCCUGUCUCUACUAAAAACACAGAAAUUUGCUGGGCGUGGUGGCAUGCACCUGUAAUCCCAGCUACUGGGGAGGCUGAGGCACAAGAAUGGAGAAUUGCCUCCCUCUGAACUUUUUAUUUGGUGCUAUAAAUAAACCCUUUCAGGUCUGAGCGGCAGUCAGGUGGAUUUCCAGUUACUUGCAGCUGAAUGCAUUUCUACCUGUCACUCCUCCUCAGGACCAUAGGUUGCUCUGGAUUCCCACCACACACGUGGAGAUACUGAGGUCUGGAAUGCAGAGAAAACUUCCCCAGUGUCACGUGGUGGAGUCAUGAGUUUACUGACUCACUACCCAGUGCUCUUUCCGCUCAAGACAACCUCGUGGUCCGUUCCUUUCAUUCGGGCUGCUGUAUGCAUGGCCAACAGCUGCUUUGUAAAUUAAACACUUCCCAUGGAGGCAGUGAUGAUGAUGACCUUGCCCCUGAAUCUUUCCAGCCUCUUACGUAAAUCGCCCCUGGGUCACUGUCUCCAUGCCUUUGGACCCAGGACAGCUUCCCCACAUCCUUUAAAACGAUGAGAUAACCACAUGUAAACCCAGUGCUCCUGGAAAGGUGUGAGUCAUGCAUCACGGAACAGAAGGUUCACAGCCAGGAGUCCGCCUAUCAUGCUUGUCAUCCAGCCUUCCAGGCUUGCGUGGAGCUUGUUCACUGCAAAGCUGAUUCAUCUGCAGCUUGUGGUCAGCUCUGACACUCAGAUCAUUUUCUGCUCAUCUUGUGCCUGGCUAGUGACCUUUAAUUAGGUGCUGUCAACUUCCUGUCUUCCUGUCUCUGUCCAUGUUGUCUUUCCCCCUAUUUUAAAAGGACUGUAUGAAUACUAAAGACAUGAUGAUGAUGAUAGCAGUUAGCACUUACUAUAUUCUAAAUGCUCUAUAUAAAUUUAAAAGUUGUUUCUCAAAAGCCAUUGUCUGAGAUAACUAGUAUUACUAUUGCAGUUUUAUGGAUUGGAAAACAAGGGCUUAGAAAAGUGAAGUCACUUUCCUUGGGUAACAGAGCCAGGAGUAUUUGGUGGAGCUGGAAUAUGAACAUGAGUGUGUUGGACCCUGGAGUGCAGCUCGAAAACACAAAGCCAGUUGAGUCUGUUAAGCUAGCUUCAGAGGCUCCACUACAGCAGUUUAGACUCUAAUUACAUUUACUGUUUGUUUAAAAGACUUCUGGACAGACUGGAGACCUCAUGGUGUAUUUGUCAUCUUAAGGUUGUCAUAAAGGACCCACAGUCUUUGCACUUUCCCUCUCCUCCGUCAACAGCAAGUCAGCAACUUGUCCUCAGUCUGGUCUUCACAUCACAGAUGGCUGCCACAGCUCACGCAUCACCUCUUCACACAACAAUGUCCAAAGCAGGCAGAGAAGGAAAGGGGCAAAUAGGUUUCUCUUUAUGUGCCUCUUUCUUGUCAUAGAGUAAACUCUUUCCCAGAAGCCCCCAGAUUAGUUUCCCUUUGGACAAAACUGGGUCACGUGACCACCUCUGAGCCAAUCGCAGGUCCAGGAGAACAGGGUGGCUAUGACUGGGUAAAGCAAAUGCAGUUUUUCCCCUAGGACUAGGCACAUGGCCAGCUGCAGAAAGUCAGGGUUUUCUCAGCAGGAAAGGAGAGGGGAAUGGCAGUUGACAAGGCAACCCGCAGUGUCUGAUACCCCAGCAUUUAAAAAUGUUUAGCACAGACACCCACGUUGAUUUGCAAUAUGAUUGUAGGUGGU
rnacentral:lncRNA from 10 species